GUGGCUUUAAGGUCUGGGAAAACCUGCGAGGGCUGUGACGUCAGACUGUGAAAUGCACGCUAUGUCCAUUCACCAAGACGUUCCAUUUUAAAACCCAUAAAUCCGUAGCUAUACCUGUUUCCAAGGUGCCUCGUGUUAGGCCUCUGGUCACAGCACUUGGCGCCCUUCUUGGGAUCUCUUCUCUCCGCCCCCACUACCCCACCCCACAAGCACACUCUAGUCCCCUCCAAUCAAUUUCAGGCAGGUCUCGCCGCCUCCGGAGCCACGCUGGGGGUGCAAGGGCCCUGGACCCGAAAGAGCGCCCGCCCGGCGACAAGAGAUGAGAUGCACGCUGCUCCUCCACUCCUCAGCCCCCACCAUCCUCCUCCUGGAUCCUAACUUCCCCACUCUCUCAAUUCCUAGAGACGCUGCGGAUCCCAGAGGCUUAACUGGCAGCUGGAACGAGGUCCUCCAACAAGAAUUUAGACGCUAGGUCCAAUUAUCACUCCACCGCGCGCACUUUCCGCAGGAGCGAUGUGAUCCGUUAUCAUAACUGCGGACCUGGGGUUCCACGUGGAAGACGAUUGGGAUUUCACUGGCCGCGGUGGGGGUGGGAGCAGACAGAGUCUGAGUGGGGUUAGUGGACUCGAGACGAAAGGCAGGACAUGACAGAAGGCAACUCUGGGUCACCUCUCCAGCUUGGAACUGGCUAGGCCUUGUUUUGGAGGGGAUGGGUAGAUGAAAAGUGAGUCAGGG
rnacentral:lncRNA from 10 species